rnacentral:lncRNA from 1 species
CGACAUAAUCGGUAGUGACACUUUACGUAUUUGAAUCGAUUAGUAGCUUCCGACUAAUUUAGCCUUCAGACGGCCCUUGGACUGAUUGUGGAUAAUACAAGAAUAUUUUCAUGUUGUCCAUUGACAACACCUUUUGACCUAUAUUAGAAGACAGUUAAGGUGACAACAAAUUCGAAAGCACCGAUUUUAACUUGUAGCAUGUUCGUUAGAAAAGUAAAAAAAUUAGGAAAUAAGUACUCAUUAUUGCAAGGAGAUGAAAUAUUGAAGCAUCAGAAAUGUAUUAAGACAUAGCUAAGAUGACUGCAUAUUGGAGACAACAAAUUUUAACUCUUCAAAAAUGUUUUUAAAGAAAAUUCAAGAUUCAUAGAUAGUAUUAAGAAAAAAAAAUUCAAUUUAAAUUUAUUAAAUUAUUCAAUCUUUUCAAAUUCAAAAUAUGCAAAUGGAAUACAACCUCCAUGUAUGGCUUGGAAACGGGGUCACAAUACUUGUACCAGUCCUGUCGGCUCUCUCUUUCACCCACACAGAGACGCUCACCCGUGAUACCUCAAAGGAGGCAACUGAAAACUGGCCUACAGCUUCACUCCUUAUACUGUAUAUGUCCCUUAUAAAUAUAAGUAGGCAACAGCAAUACUGGAAAAUAGACAAAAUAGGUAACCAUACCAUGAAACUCUACUCAGAAACUUGCACCAAUUUCUUUGCAUAAUUCUGUUUUUAAUAUUUUCAUCAUUUGAGUCGAGUAAUUACCAUGGUUAUGUAAAUGCCUUGUCAAAAUUGAUUUUAUUUUUCCAAGGGCAGAGGUCCGGGUACUUACCGCGGGAUCAGAGAAUUGCUUGGCGGGGAAAUUCCGGCAUCGGCGAUGGGUGAAUGGCUGCGAAUACGGACUUGACUGGGUUGCGAAACCGUUUUGAGCAGCUAAUCCGUUCCCCAUUUGAUUGCAACCAAAGCAUAAUUGAAAUAGGAUCCAUCAUCAUUAUAAAAUGAAUUUUGUUACAAUUACAGCUUAUUUCACAGCAUUGUUGAUUGCCCUCUCACAUUGAAAAGUGGGCCCCGCAAUUAAAAUAAUCUCGAGUCCCACAUUUUGUGAGAGAGUUUUCAAAUAAAGUGUAUAACACUUAUCAUUUUCCUUAUAAAAUUUCCCAAACUAACACUGCAUAUUGUAAUUAGAUUGAAGUCAUGUUAUAUCAGAUUUGACUCCAAAGAGAGUGGCAUAUAUUUGUAUCUGUU